UCCACUAUCCCAUUUUUUUUUCUGUACGUUCUGUCCCCCACCUCAAUCAGAGAAGCAUCUUUCUCUCUUUCUCUUUUCCCUCUCCCACGCCAUAUUUCUUAUUCUUCUUUCUCUCUAUCCCGUGAGCUCUCUCUCCCUCUGCAACUCCAUGAGCAAGCUCCAAAACUCAUAGAUCGAACAAAACAACUACAUCAUCGUGUUCAUCUCGUCAAUACGAGUUCAUCCAUACUAGUUUCAGGUAAGAUUUCCACUGUUUUCACGUCGAACCACUUACCUCCGUUUGAGUCACUGUUCAUGCAAUAAUUAUUGGUUGAUUUUUAGGAGUUUUUAAGCUCAUAGUGAGCUUAAGGAGGUUCUUAGGAAGCUCGGAGUGCUUCGUUGGAAGUUUUGGACGCAAAAACAGAGAUCGGAAAGUUCAAAGUUUGGCCGGAACUUUCGAGGCGUUUUCCGGCCAAACCACGGAGAUUUAGAUGUUGUGUGAGGUAUCAUUCUCUUCGUCUCUUCUAGAACUACAACUUUUGUUUUUGUUUCACCCAAUUUAGUUGAGUAUUAAAGAAGUUAUACUCAUUUGAAUCUUACCCAGUUUCCGGCGAGUCCGACGGCUUUCGAGGCUUUUUCCGGUGAAUUCCCG
rnacentral:lncRNA from 1 species